rnacentral:sRNA from 1 species
GCAGAAUUCAGUGAAUCAUCGAAUCUUUGAACGCAAAUGGCGCUCUUGGGUUCUCCCAGGAGCAUGUCUGUCUGAGUGUCUUUCUCGUUGAAUGACAUUCGCACGAUGUGGCCGUGUUAUGCACUGGCGUUUCGUGCGGCGUUGAGGUUCGCGGCCUUGCUAUUCUUAGGCCGCGUGCCUUUAAAUGGAGGAGGAAGAUGGGCUCAAGGUCCGGUGCAGUCGCAUGCGGAUUCAGUUCAUGUGCCGCAUGUGACUGCUGCAUCGGGAAUAUUGUCCUCGGCCCUCUACCUCGUGACCUUUAGCACGACGUUCGUUCGUUCGUUGCUUGGCGCCAGACCUCAGAUCAGGCAAGGCUACCCGCUGAAUUUAAGCAUAUUAAUAAGCGGAGGAAAAGAAACUAACAAGGAUUCCCCCAGUAACGGCGAGUGAAGCGGGAAGAGCUCAAAUUUGAAAUCUCCGAUGCCUGCAUCGGCGAGUUGUAGUUGCGAGAAGCACUUUCUAGGCGGAAGGGCCCUGCCUAAGUUGCUUGGAACAGCACGUCGCAGAGGGUGACAACCCCGUCU